GUGGUGGCUCAGUGGUAGUGUGCUCGCCUAGCAUGCAUGAGGCACUGGGUUCAAUUCUCAGCACCACA
rnacentral:tRNA from 1 species